rnacentral:rRNA from 1 species
GAUGAACGCUAGCUACAGGCUUAACACAUGCAAGUCGAGGGGUAACGAGAGGAAAGCUUGCUUUCCUUGUCGACGACCGGCGCACGGGUGAGUAACGCGUAUCCAACCUGCCCCCAACUAGGGAAUAACCUUGCGAAAGUAAGACUAAUACCCUAUAAUUUCCUCAGAUGACAUCUGACGAGGAAUAAAGAUUUAUCGGUUGUGGAUGGGGAUGCGUCUGAUUAGCUUGUUGGCGGGGGAACGGCCCACCAAGGCAACGAUCAGUAGGGGUUCUGAGAGGAAGGUCCCACAACUUGGAACUGAGACACGGUCCAAACUCCUACGGGAGGCAGCAGUGAGGAAUAUUGGUCAAUGGGCGGAAGCCUGAACCAGCCAAGUAGCGUGCAGGAUGACGGCCCUAUGGGUUGUAAACUGCUUUUAUACAGGAAUAAAGUUAGCCACGUGUGGUUAUUUGUAGGUACUGUAUGAAUAAGGACCGGCUAAUUCCGUGCCAGCCGCCGCAGUAA